AUGCUAUCUUCUUUUAUUCUACCUUUUCCUUAUAUACUUUAUUUACAUACUAUAUAUAUAUAUAUAUACAUACAUGCUUCUUUUUUGAGAUUGAGUCUUGCUCUGUUGCCCAGGCUGAAGUGCAAUACCAUGAUCUUGGCUCACUGCAACCUCCGCCUCCCAGGUUCAAGCAAUUCUCCUGCCUCAGUCUCCUGGGUAGAUGGGAUUACACGCUUCCGGGUAGUUUUGGCCCCCUCUGUACUUGAGUUCCAGAAAACCCAGUGCAAAACGGAUCUGGGCAUCAAAGAGAAGGAAAGACAUUUUUGAUGAGGGGCAUGGUUCAAAUCAAGGUUGGUGGCUGGAAAAUGUCAGAUCCUCUGAAGAUAUGAGUCAGUCUGGAUUGGUGAGGACUCACUGCUGGGCUGCUGUGGGCAUGAGGUGUCCCUGGGGAGGUAUGGACUUUCUGAGAGAUAGAAAGUCAAAGAUCAUCUCCAUCCACCCGUAGACCAGCACCGUGCUAAACUACAAACAUCUAUCAGUUCAUCCGCCCUCAAGGAGUGAUGCUAUUAUUGCCUCCACUUGACAGAUCAAGGAAGUGAGGCUCAAAGAGGUUAAACUGCUUACCUGACAUGACUUAGCUAACAAGUGGCAGAGCCAAGAUUUGAACCAAGAUCUCUGUCCAACUGCAAAGCAUGGUCUUGCUCUUCAUAAAGGUGUUCUCAUCUGCAGAUCUCUGCUGUUGCUUGUGACAAAGACAGUUGUCACUAAUGAAAUUGUUCAAUCCAAAGCACUUCCAGUUUCAAUCUAAGUAGUUACCAAACAAUCUGCCCCUGUAAAGCGGAAGUUUCUACUGAAGCCUUCAGGCUUGUCCCCUAUGCUUUCUUGUCACCAGGCCAGCUGGUCAAAGUGUCUUUAAAUGGCUGGGGGACAGAUGUGGCAAAAUGGGAAAGUGUGAUGGCUAAUUUCAUGCAUCACCUUGACUGAGCUAAAGGAUGCCCAGAUAUCUGGUAAAACAUUAUGUCUGGGCUUAUGUGUCUGUGAGGGCAUUUCUGGGAGAGCUUAGCAUUAGAAUCUGUAGACUGAGUAAAGAAGGCCACCCUCACCCAGGUGGGCAGACAUCAUCCAGUCUAUUGAGAGCCCAAAUAGAACAAAAAGCAGAGGAUGUGUACAUUUUCCAUUUGAGCUGAGACAUUCACCUUCUCCUGCCCUUGGAGAUCAGAGCUCCUUGUUCUCGGACCUUCAGACUUACCCCAGGACCUAAUGCCAAUGGCUUUUCUGGUUCUCCAGCAUGCAGAUGGCAGAGCGUGGAACACAGCGUACAUAAUUGCAUAAACCAAUUUGUACGAUAAAUAAACAUAUAUAUCCUACUGGUUCUAUUUCUCUG
rnacentral:lncRNA from 13 species